rnacentral:lncRNA from 1 species
GGUGGGGGCAAGGCCUAACCUCUGGUAGGGAUUUCUUGCACCUUCUACACCUGGAAGGGUUGUACACCCCACAUCCGAGAAAGGCCAAGGCCUCUGCAUUUCCACAUGUGAGGAAACCACCCCUCUGUAUCUGGGAGAGGUCUCUUAAGCCAGUGAUUGUCACCUAUUCUGAUCCGGCCGUCUUCUCAUCCCGCUCUACAUGCUCUCCUUGGAGGAUCACAUCCCUGAAGCUAUAUCAUGAAGACUCCCAGUGCUCCCAAGUCUAGCCUUAACUUCUCUCUGGAAUCCUAGACUCAUAUAACUAAGUGCCUACUGUAAUCGGGGCAGUAUUGAUUCCUGGUUCACUUACUAACUUUGUGAUCUUGAGCAAGUUACUAAAUCUCUCUUAGCCUCAGCUUCCUCAUCUGUAAAAUGGUUGUAAUGCUACCUCUCAGGGUUGUUAUUCACUAAUUUAUAGCAGAUCGAUCACAUCUCAGCAAAUGCCAGCUGACACAACCCCCAGGACCAUGUGACUAAGAGGCCCCUUCCCCCAAUCCAAUGCCAUGAAAUUCACAUAAGACCCCUGUAAAUCCAGAUGCUAUCUUGAAAGAAGAAAGGGAAGACUGAGUCAUCCAAAGCUACCAAAGUACUUAGAGACUGUCUAAAAUAAAUUAUUGGAUCCUAUAGAGUUUACCAGAGUGGAUUACUUUUAGCUCCCCCCCACUGCCCAUUACCCAGCAGGGUGAGGGCAUUGUGAGAAAGAUCAGCCUAGUUAUAGGAAACAGAGGAGACUUAAAUCAUCGCACAUCUGAGUGUAAUGUGAGCGAAUUUUGUGACCCAGCUGCAGGAGUUCAGAUUUUAUCCUGAAAACAGUGGGGAGCCACUGAAGAAUUUUUGAGCAGAAGAGUAAUGCGAUCAUAUCCAGAAAUUAGUAGGAUGAUUUGGGCUAUGGUGUGGAAUGGGGGCUUGAAAGCAUUUGAGAGUGAAGGCAAGGAUUAAUAAUAAGGGACUGAAAUGAUGGAAGGAAAAAGUUGUAGAGAGAAAAGGAG